rnacentral:rRNA from 1 species
AUUGAACGCUGGCGGAAUGCUUUACACAUGCAAGUCGAACGACAGCACGGGGGCAGCCCGCGUGGCGAGGGGCGAAGGGGGGGGUAAUACAUCUAAGCUUGCCCUAUCUUCGGGGAUAAGGUAGCGAAAGUGACUCUAGUACCGCGUACGAACUGUUGAUGAAAUCGGAUGACCUUCGGUCCGAUCGCGAUGGUAGCAGCCUAUGUCAGAAUCAGUGGUUGGUUGGGUAAAGGCCUACCAAGCCUACGAUCUGUAGCUGGUCUGAGAGGACGACCAGACACCCUGGGACUGAGAAACGGCCCCGACUCCGACGGGAGGACGCAGCGGGGAAUUUUGGACAAUGCGCGAAAGCCUGAUACAGCACUACCGCCUGAAGGAUGAAGCACUUCGGGUUGUAAACUGAUUUUGUACGGAAGGAAAAGGAUCUGGCUAAUACCUGGGGAUAAUGACGGUACCGUAAGAAUAAGCACCGGCUAACUACGUG